GAUGAACGCUAGCGGCAGGCUUAACACAUGCAAGUCGAACGGUAACAGAUCUUCGGAUGCUGACGAGUGGCGCACGGGUGCGUAACGCGUAUACAACCUGCCUUGAACAAAGGGAUAGCCCAUGGAAACGUGGAUUAAUACCUUAUAACAUCUAGAAGUGGCAUCACAUUUAGAUCAAAGAUUUAUCGGUUUGAGAGGGGUAUGCGUGACAUUAGAUAGUUGGUGAGGUAACGGCUCACCAAGUCUGCGAUGUCUAGGGGUUCUGAGAGGAUGAUCCCCCACACUGGUACUGAGACACGGACCAG
rnacentral:rRNA from 1 species